rnacentral:SRP_RNA from 1 species
ACUGGGCAUGGUGGCACAGGCCUGUAGUCCCAGCUACUUGGGAGGCUGAGGUGGGAGGAUCGCUUGAGCCCAGGAGUUCUGGACUGCAGUGUGCUCUGCCGAUCAGGUGUCCACACUAAGUCUGGCAUCAAUAUGGUGACAUCUCGGGAAUGGGAGACCACAAAGUUGCUUAAGGAGGGGUGUACAGCCCAGGGUGGAAACAAAGGUAAAAACUCUUCGGCUGAUCAGUAGUGGGACUGCACCUGUGAACAGCCACUGCAGUCCAGCCUGGGCAACAUAGCAAGACCCACA